GAUUCUGGCUCAGGAUGAACGCUAGCGACAGGCUUAACACAUGCAAGUCGAGGGGCAGCAUAAAAGUAGCAAUACUUGGUGGCGACCGGCGCACGGGUGAGUAACGCGUAUGCAACCUACCUAUCAGAGGGGAAUAACCCGGCGAAAGUCGGACUAAUACCGCAUAAAACAGGGGCACCGCAUGGUGAUAUUUGUUAAAGAAAUUCGCUGAUAGAUGGGCAUGCGUUCCAUUAGGUAGUUGGUGAGGUAACGGCUCACCAAGCCGACGAUGGAUAGGGGAACUGAGAGGUUGGUCCCCCACACUGGUACUGAGACACGGACCAGACUCCUACGGGAGGCAGCAGUGAGGAAUAUUGGUCAAUGGGCGAGAGCCUGAACCAGCCAAGUCGCGUGAAGGAAGAAGGAUCUACUGGUUCGUAAACUUCUUUUGCAGGGGAAUAAAGUGCAGGACGUGUCCUGUUUUGUAUGUACCCUGAGAAUAAGGAUCGGCUAACUCCGUGCCAGCAGCGGC
rnacentral:rRNA from 1 species